UGGGGAAUUUUGGACAAUGGGGGAAACCCUGAUCCAGCCAUCCCGCGUGUGCGAUGAAGGCCUUAGGGUUGUAAAGCACUUUUGGCAGGAAAGAAACGUCAUGGGUUAAUACCCCGUGAAACUGACGGUACCUGCAGAAUAAGCACCGGCUAACUACGUGCCAGCAGCCGCGGUAAUACGUAGGGUGCAAGCGUUAAUCGGAAUUACUGGGCGUAAAGCGUGCGCAGGCGGUUCGGAAAGAAAGAUGUGAAAUCCCAGAGCUCAACUUUGGAACUGCAUUUUUAACUACCGGGCUAGAGUGUGUCAGAGGGGAGUGGAAUUCGGCGUGUAGCAGUGAAAUGCGUCGAUAUGCGGAGGAACACCGAUGGCGAAGGCAGCCUCCUGGGAUAACACUGACGCUCAUGCACGAAAGCGUGGGGAGCAAACAGG
rnacentral:rRNA from 1 species